rnacentral:rRNA from 1 species
GUGGGGAAUAUUGGACAAUGGGCGCAAGCCUGAUCCAGCAAUGCCGCGUGGGUGAAGAAGGUCUUCGGAUCGUAAAGCCCUUUCGACGGGGACGAUGAUGACGGUACCCGUAGAAGAAGCCCCGGCUAACUUCGUGCCAGCAGCCGCGGUAAUACGAAGGGGGCUAGCGUUGCUCGGAAUUACUGGGCGUAAAGGGCGCGUAGGCGGCCACUUUAGUCAGGCGUGAAAUUCCCGGGCUUAACCUGGGGACUGCGCUUGAUACUGGGUGGCUUGAGGGUGGAAGAGGGUCGUGGAAUUCCCAGUGUAGAGGUGAAAUUCGUAGAUAUUGGGAAGAACACCGGUGGCGAAGGCGGCGACCUGGUCCAUUACUGACGCUGAGGCGCGACAGCGUGGGGAGCAAACAGG